rnacentral:rRNA from 1 species
UACGUAGGGGGCGAGCGUUAUCCGGAUUCACUGGGUGUAAAGGGAGCGUAGACGGCCAUGCAAGCCAGGGGUGAAAGCCCGGGGCCCAACCCCGGGACUGCCCUUGGAACUGCAUGGCUGGAGUGCGGGAGGGGCAGGCGGAAUUCCUGGUGUAGCGGUGAAAUGCGUAGAUAUUAGGAGGAACACCGGCGGCGAAGGCGGCUUACUGGACUGUAACUGACGUUGAGGCUCGAAAGCGUGGGGAGCAAACAGG